rnacentral:pre_miRNA from 1 species
UUAAUAUAAGAAACCGUCUCUUAACUUUUAACUAAAAAAGUUAAGAACCGGUUCUUAAAUAGAUAUUUAAAAACCGGUUCUUAGCUUUCUUAUUUAAAAGUUAAGAGAUGAUUUUUUAUAUUCC